rnacentral:rRNA from 1 species
UACACUCCUGCGGGAGGCAGCAGUGGGGAAUUUUGGACAAUGGGCGAAAGCCUGAUCCAGCAAUGCCGCGUGUGUGUAGAAGGCCUUCGGGUUGUAAAGCACUUUUGUCCGGAAAGAAAUCCUUGGCUCUAAUACAGUCGGGGGAUGACGGUACCGGAAGAAUAAGCACCGGCUAACUACGUGCCAGCAGCCGCGGUAAUACGUAGGGUGCGAGCGUUAAUCGGAAUUACUGGGCGUAAAGCGUGCGCAGGCGGUUUGCUAAGACCGAUGUGAAAUCCCCGGGCUCAACCUGGGAACUGCAGUGGUGACUGGCAGGCUAGAGUAUGGCAGAGGGGGGUAGAAUUCCACGUGUAGCAGUGAAAUGCGUAGAGAUGUGGAGGAAUACCGAUGGCGAAGGCAGCCCCCUGGGCCAAUACUGACGCUCAUGCACGAAAGCGUGGGGAGCAAACAGGAUUAGAAACCCCGGUAGUCCCA